rnacentral:rRNA from 1 species
CCUACGGGUGGCAGCAGUGAGGAAUAUUGCACAAUGGGGGAAACCCUGAUGCAGCGACGCCGCGUGCGUGAAGAAGUAUUUCGGUACGUAAAGCUCUAUCAGCAGGGAAGAAAAUGCCGGUACCUGACUAAGAAUCCCCGGCUAACUACGUGCCAGCAGCCGCGGUAAUACGUAGGGGGCAAGCGUUAUCCGGAUUUACUGGGUGUAAAGGGAGCGUAUACGGAAGCGUAAGUCUGGAGUGAAAUCCCAUGGCUUAACCAUGGAACUGCUUUGGAAACUGUGCAGCUAGAGUGCAGGAGAGGUAAGCGGAAUUCCUGGUGUAGCGGUGAAAUGCGUAGAUAUUAGGAGGAACACCAGUGGCGAAGGCGGCUUACUGGACUGUAACUGACGUUGAGGCUCGAAAGCGUGGGGAGCAAACAGGAUUAGAUACCCCUGUAGUC